UGGGGAAUAUUGGACAAUGGGCGAAAGCCUGAUCCAGCCAUGCCGCGUGUGUGAAGAAGGUCUUCGGAUUGUAAAGCACUUUAAGUUGGGAGGAAGGGCAGUAAGCGAAUACCUUGCUGUUUUGACGUUACCGACAGAAUAAGCACCGGCUAACUCUGUGCCAGCAGCCGCGGUAAUACAGAGGGUGCAAGCGUUAAUCGGAAUUACUGGGCGUAAAGCGCGCGUAGGUGGUUCGUUAAGUUGAAUGUGAAAUCCCCGGGCUCAACCUGGGAACUGCAUCCAAAACUGGCGAGCUAGAGUAGGGCAGAGGGUGGUGGAAUUUCCUGUGUAGCGGUGAAAUGCGUAGAUAUAGGAAGGAACACCAGUGGCGAAGGCGACCACCUGGGCUCAUACUGACACUGAGGUGCGAAAGCGUGGGGAGCAAACAGG
rnacentral:rRNA from 1 species